AUGGAUGCAGCUGAGGCGCGCUGGGCCUGGCACAGAUAUGGCCCAAGCCGGCAAGGGCCACGGUCAACGGGGCGACCGACUGUUCUUGCGGUCGUCCAGGCGAUCAAAGCAGAGGGCGGGUCGUCCUUGUUCAUUCCUGAGAAAGAGAGACGCCGAUUGAGAGAGAGGAAACCAGAGGAUGGAGAGAAGGGGUCGGCGAGCUACGUGGUCCGGCGACGCGGGAAGCAGUGGGUCGGCGGGGAGGCGAGCGGAUCCCGACGGUGGCGCGCCGAACGGAGGCUAAUGGAGGUGGUUCCAGCGAUGCCUUGUGGCUGGCGUGGCCACGGCAGCAGGGGCUUGGCGGCAGCGAACGAGCGCGAGGUAGAGGAGGCAGGCAUGGUGUCGCGCUCUGUUGAAGCAGGGGAACGAGCGGGCGAUGCGGUGCUCGGGUGCCAUGGUCUACUGCUGCUCCUGCAUGAAGAACACACGGAAAGGGAGAGAGUUUAG
rnacentral:rRNA from 1 species